rnacentral:rRNA from 1 species
AGAGUUUGAUCCUGGCUCAGGACGAACGCUGGCGGCGUGCCUAACACAUGCAAGUCGAACGAAGCUUUGAGGAGCUUGCUCUUUAAAGCUUAGUGGCGGACGGGGGAGUAACGCGUGAGCAACCUGCCUCUCAGAGGGGGAUAACGUUUUGAAAAGAACGCUAAUACCGCAUAACAUAUCGGAACCGCAUGAUUCUGAUAUCAAAGGAGCAAUCCGCUGAGAGAUGGGCUCGCGUCCGAUUAGUUAGUUGGUGAGGUAAUGGCUCACCAAGACUACGAUCGGUAGCCGGACUGAGAGGUUGAUCGGCCACAUUGGGACUGAGACACGGCCCAGACUCCUACGGGAGGCAGCAGUGGGGAAUAUUGCACAAUGGGGGAAACCCUGAUGCAGCGACGCCGCGUGAAGGAUGAAGUAUUUCGGUAUGUAAACUUCUAUCAGCAGGGAAGAAAAUGACGGUACCUGACUAAGAAGCCCCGGCUAACUACGUGCCAGCAGCCGCGGUAAUACGUAGGGGGCAAGCGUUAUCCGGAUUUACUGGGUGUAAAGGGAGCGUAGACGGUGUGGCAAGUCUGAUGUGAAAGGCAUGGGCUCAACCUGUGGACUGCAUUGGAAACUGUCAUACUUGAGUGCCGGAGGGGUAAGCGGAAUUCCUAGUGUAGCGGUGAAAUGCGUAGAUAUUAGGAGGAACACCAGUGGCGAAGGCGGCUUUCUGGACGACAACUGACGCUGAGGCGCGAAAGUGUGGGGAGCAAACAGGAUUAGAUACCCUGGUAGUCCACACCGUAAACGAUGGAUACUAGGUGUAGGAGGUAUCGACCCCUUCUGUGCCGCAGUUAACACAAUAAGUAUCCCACCUGGGGAGUACGACCGCAAGGUUGAAACUCAAAGGAAUUGACGGGGGCCCGCACAAGCAGUGGAGUAUGUGGUUUAAUUCGAAGCAACGCGAAGAACCUUACCAGGUCUUGACAUCCUGAGAAUCCUUAAGAGAUUAGGGAGUGCCUUCGGGAACUCAGAGACAGGUGGUGCAUGGUUGUCGUCAGCUCGUGUCGUGAGAUGUUGGGUUAAGUCC